rfam:Aedes aegypti strain Liverpool supercont1.358 genomic scaffold, whole genome shotgun sequence.
CCUCUCAUGGCGUAGGGGUAACGCGCCCUAGCUAGAGAUCAGGGAGUCGUGAGUUCGAUUCUCACUGAGAAGA